rnacentral:rRNA from 1 species
UACGGAGGGUGCGAGCGUUGUCCGGAAUCAUUGGGCGUAAAGGGCGCGUAGGUGGCGGGACAAGCGUGCGGUGAAAGCUCGGGGCUCAACCCCGGGUCGGCCGUGCGAACUGUUUUGCUUGAGCACUGUAGAGGCAGGCGGAAUUCCGGGUGUAGCGGUGGAAUGCGUAGAGAUCCGGAAGAACACCGGUGGCGAAGGCGGCCCGCUGGGCAGAGACUGACGCUGAGGCGCGACAGCGUGGGGAGCAAACGAGG